rnacentral:rRNA from 1 species
GCGCGCCUACGGGACGCAGCAGUCGGGAAUAUUGCGCAAUGGAGGAAACUCUGACGCAGUGACGCCGCGUGCAGGAAGAAGGUUUUCGGAUUGUAAACUGCUUUAGACAGGGAAGAAAAAAGACAGUACCUGUAGAAUAAGCUCCGGCUAACUACGUGCCAGCAGCCGCGGUAAUACGUAGGGAGCAAGCGUUAUCCGGAUUUAUUGGGUUUAAAGGGUGCGCAGGCGGCCUGUUAAGUCAGCGGUAAAAGCCCGGGGCUCAACCCCGGCGAGCCGUUGAAACUGGCGGGCUGGAGUUGGAGAGA